rnacentral:lncRNA from 1 species
CUGCGAGGGGAGGGGGCUCAAGAUGUAAGCAGCGAAGAGAUCUCGGGCUCUCGCAAUGCGACAUUCAGCUGCGUCACACCUCAGCCGCAGCUGCAGCUCAGAGAGGCCUUCCUUGCCUCCACCACUUUCGCCCAGGCCUCCGCUGCCGCUGCCACCUCUGGUGUAAUCACCUCGGCCCAGCCGCGCCCCGCCCAGCGCUCCUGCUGCCUUCACCGCUGCCACCUCCUCAGCCCCGGCUUCCGCCGCCACCACCCAAGCAUCCAUUUGAAUGGGAGCAACUGUUUGCUGAUGUGUGAAGUGGUAGGAGGAAUGAGCCUGUGCAUCACAGAAACUUCAAUUCAGGUGUGUGUAAAUGUGGCAGGAGCCUCCAUGAUGGACCCCAACAUUCUCCACCUCCUGAUAUUCUGACCCUUAUGUCACCAUCUUCCCUUGAGUGUGAUCUGAACUCAGUGGCUUGCUUCUGAGGAACAGAAGUGAUGGGAUAUCAUUUCUGAUAAGAUAAGGUUGUAUAUAAAUCUCUGAUUUCCAUCUUGGGUUUGAUUGCAAUGUGUGUGCAUUAAGAAGCUAUGCUGUGAACAGUCCUAUGGAACUGAUAUCUCCAGCCAACAGCCAGAGAGGCCCUGAGGCACAUCAAUAGUCACAUGACUGAGCUUGGAAGUAGAUCAUCUCCUAGUGAAGCCUUGAGGUAACUGUAGCCUCAGCAGCCUUGUGAGUGAUCUUGUGCCAGAGCCACUCAGUUAAGCUGUGCUAAAAUUCCUGAUCUACAAAAGCUGUUAAAUAAAAAUGUUUAUUGUUGUUUUCA